rnacentral:rRNA from 1 species
UACGUAGGGCGCGAGCGUUGUCCGGAUUUAUUGGGCUUAAAGCGCUCGUAGGCGGCUUGUCGCGUCGCUCGUGAAAACCUGCAGCUCAACUGCAGGCUUGCGGUCGAUACGGGCAGGCUGGAGUUCGGUAGGGGAGACUGGAAUUCCUGGUGUAGCGGUGAAAUGCGCAGAUAUCAGGAGGAACACCAGUGGCGAAGGCGGGUCGCUGGGCCGAUACUGACGCUGAGGAGCGAAAGCGUGGGGAGCGAACAGG